CCACAGGCUUUUUUUUGAAGCCACCAAUAAAUUUCAAGAAAAAUGGU
rfam:Ovis aries breed Texel chromosome 8, whole genome shotgun sequence.